rnacentral:ncRNA from 1 species
CUGAUAAUCGCGUUUGGGUAAUUUGUGGACUACAAAGCCCAAUUUCUCUCACAAUACCUCCUAACAUGGAUGUUGUCGAUGGACAACGCGUUUCUGUCAG